rnacentral:lncRNA from 1 species
UGUAACGAGUGGACGCAAACGAGAAACUCUCACUGGUAAUGCUACUCUCCACCUCUACCCCCAUUUUGAACCCCUGCGCAAAAUACAUG